CGGGGAUGGUGGAUGGUUGCUAAGGUGUUGUAGACGGGGAUGGUGGAUGGUUGCUAAGGUGUUGUAGACGGGGAUGGUGGAUGGUUGCUAAGGUGUUGUAGACGGGGAUGGUGGAUGGUUGCUAAGGUGUUGUAGACGGGGAUGGUGGAUGGUUGCUAAGGUGUUGUAGACGGGGAUGGUGGAUGGUUGCUAAGGUGUUGUAGACGGGGAUGGUGGAUGGUUGCUAAGGUGUUGUAGACGGGGAUGGUGGAUGGUUGCUAAGGUGUUGUAGACGGGGAUGGUGGAUGGUUGCUAAGGUGUUGUAGACGGGGAUGGCGGAUGGUUGCUAAGGGGUUGUGGACGGGGAUGGUGGAUGGUUGCUAAGGGGUUGUGGACGGGGAUGGUGGAUUCUUGAUAAGGUGUUGUAGACGGGGAUGGCGGAUGGUUGCUAAGGGGUUGUGGACGGGGAUGGUGGAUGGUUGCUAAGGGGUUGUGGACGGGGAUGGUGGAUUCUUGAUAAGGUGUUGUAGACGGGGAUGGUGGAUGGUUGCUAAGGGGUUGUGGACAGGGAUGGUGGAUGGUUGCUAAGGGGUGUGGACGGGGAUGGUGGAUGGUUGCUAAGGGGUUGUGGACAGGGAUGGUGGAUGGUUGCUAAGGGGUGUGGACGGGGAUGGUGGAUGGUUGCUAAGGGGUUGUGGAUGGGGAUGGUGGAUGCUUGUAACUAUCUGCGUCCGGUGCCAAAGAUUUCAUGUUUGAAUCCAGCAAGAUUUUAGAUUUAAAACUAUCGUAAACCUUAACCAUUCAGAGUUCAUGCCUAAAUUUAACCCUAAACACUCUGAAAUUUGACGUUUGGAAAACAUGGAUGAACGUCUAAUUCUGAGACUGUGAGAGCUUGUUGCCAUUACACCAACCCACAAAGACAAGGAAUCUAUAGUCAUCAGGCCUACGUCGUCAGCUCUCUAUUAAACCUAUCACUACAUACCAUAGGACCAUUCCAGCUUAUUAAAAGACUGUACCAUUAAGCCAUCUGCACUAUAAAAUCCAUACCAAAGAGCUAGAAUUAGGCGAUCUCAUUUCAGCUGUAGGGUGUAGGCCCUUAUUAAAAGUAACCCAUCUUCCCCUCAAGUGGGCGUGAGAUUAUCUACAGUAUAUUUGAUCACUUCCUGAUUAAACCAACACCUCCCGGACAGCAUGCGUAAAAGGCCAAACUUCAUCUGGCGGACUCAUGUUGUAGUUUAUUUAAUAGGCUAAGGGGAUGGAGGAGGUUAUUAAGUUGAACUGGUCUUAUACACAGUGCAAUACAGACUGCCAUUCGCUGUGAUCCUCAUUUGAUCUGGUGAAAGUGUACAGUCUCUGUGUGUGGGGAAUGUGUGUUUUUUUACCCCUAUUUUACCAGGUAACUUGACUGAGAACACAUUCUCAUUUACAACAACGACCAGGGGAAUAGUUACAGGUAAGAGGAGGGGGGAUGAUUAGGUGACCAUGAUGGAAUGAGGGCCAGUAGUGGGAUGCAGGGUUGUCUGCUGCUGCAAACUGUAUGUAUGUACUGUGUGUGUGUGUGUGUGUGUGUGUGUGUGUGUGUGUGUGUGUGUGUGUGUGUGUGUGUGUGUGUGUGUGCGUGCGUGCGUGCGUGCGUGCGUGCGUGCGUGCGUGCGUGCGUGCGUGUGUGUGUGUGUGUGUGUUUGUGUGUGUGUGUGUGUGUGGAUUUAUCCUGAAUUAUAGUUUUAAAGACACUGGGACAAUGGGUCCACCUCAGCCUAAUAUACUUCCUUAUCUCUCCCAAGUUUGGGUUUAGAGGAUCUUCUCCUGUACUGCUAGAACAGACCCUGGUGUGCCUGUGUAUACUUGAGUGCACACGUGCGGGUGUAGAGACUGUGUGUGCGCUGGUGUGUUUGUGUUGAGUGAUACUCUUGGUAUUUAAUAGAACAUCUGAAUGAUUUCUGUUCAUUUCUCCAGUUCUCCCUCAUGAUGGGAUGGUGAUGCUGUAAUGCUAUAACACCAGAUAAAUGUCCUGUUCACAAGAUAUGUUGCUCUCUCUCUCUUCUGCAGGGAGACAGAUAUAGUA